rnacentral:lncRNA from 1 species
CAAUAUCAUACUGACGGGAUCUUUUAAAGUACAGAGUCACGUUAUAAGAACAAAAGAAAUACAAAAAGUCGCAAAUACAAAACAAACCACAAAUAAAUGAAAGCCGAUACAAACACAUUGACGAGAUGUAUAAGUACCGAGCCACGUGAAACGGAAAUCACAUGAAACCAUUCAACAGUAAAAGUAAUAUUAAUAAUAGAACAAAGA